rnacentral:rRNA from 1 species
AUGGUGCGAUCUAUGAUGUCUCUUACUGAUUUACCACUAUCAUUUUGGGGUUAUGCUUUAGAGACGGCCACAUUCACGUUAAAUAGGGCACCAUCAAAAUCCGUUGAGACGACACCUUAUGAACUAUGGUUUGGCAAGAAACCAAAGUUGUCGUUUCUUAAAGUUUGGGGCUGCGAUGCUUAUGUGAAAAAGCUUCAACCUAAUAAGCUCGAACCCAAAUCAGAGAAAUGUGUCUUCAUAGGAUACCCAAAAGAAACAGUUGGAUACACCUUCUAUCACAGAUCCGAGGGCAAGACAUUCGUUGCUAAGAAUGGAUCCUUUAUAGAGAAGGAGUUUCUCUCAAAAGAAGUGAGUGGGAGGAAAGUAGAACUUGAUGAGGUAACAGUACCUGCUCCCUUAUUGGAAAGUAGUUCAUCACAGAAACCGGUUCCUGUGACGUCUACACCAAUUAGUGAGGAAGUUAAUGAUGAUCAUGAAACUUCAGAUCAAGUUGUUACUGAACCUCGUAUGUCAACCAGAGUAAGAUCCGCACCAGAGUGGUACGGUAAUCCUGUUCUAGAGGUUAUGUUGCUCGACCAUGAUGAACCUACGAACUAUGAAGAAGCGAUGGUGAGCCCAGAUUUCGCAAAAUGGCUUGAGGCCAUGAAAUCUGAGAAGGGAUCCAUGUAUGAGAACAAAGUGUGGACUUUGGUUGACUUGCCCAAUGAUCAGCAAGACAUCGAGAAUAAAUGUAUCUUCAAGAAGAAGACUGGCGCUGAUGGUAAUGUUACCGUCUCUAAAGCUCGACUUGCUGCAAAAGGUUUUCGACAAGUUCAACCGAUUGAUUACAAUGAGACCUUCUCACCUGUAGCGAUGCUUAAGUCUGUCCGAAUCAUGUUAGCAAUUGCCGCAUUUUAUGAUUAUGAAAUUUGGCAAAUGGAUGUCAACACUGCAUUCCUGAAUGGAUUUCUGGAAGAAGAGUUAUAUAUGAUGCAACCGGAAGGUUUUGUCGAUCCAAAGGGAGCUAACAAAGUAUGA